rnacentral:snRNA from 1 species
AUGACACGCAAAUUCAUGAAGCAUUCCAUGUUU